UCUCUGAUUGCUGAGCUCCCUGCUGGUUGACCUGUGGCUGUUGUUCUGUGUUUAGACUUGUAUGUGGUUGGAGGUUGAGGACCUUCGUGGGUGUAAGCAACGUGGAGAAAUCUGAGAGCUGACCAGCCCUGUUCACUGCAGAAACACAUGCUGUUCAGAACGAGCGUUGUCACUGAGAACAGAAAUGGUUCAGAAAGGAGUUCAGCUGGACCGGGAGACCUUCUCUUGUUCCAUCUGUCUGGAUCUACUGGAGGAUCUGGUCUCUACUUCCUGUGGACACAACUACUGCAUGAACUGUAUUAAAAGCCACUGGGAUGAAGAGGAUCAUAAGAACAUCCACAGCUGUCCUCAGUGCAGGCAGAUGUUCACACCGAGGCCUGUCCUGCUGAAAAAUAACUUGUUAGUAGUUUUAGUGGAGGAGCUGAAGAAGACUGGACUCCAUGCUGAUCACUGCUAUGCUGGAGCUCAAGAUGUGGCCUGUGAUUUCUGCACUGGGUGAAAACUGAAAGCACGCAAAUCGUGAUUAAAAUAAGUACAACCUUU